rnacentral:rRNA from 1 species
CCUACGGGAGGCAGCAGUGGGGAAUAUUGGACAAUGGGGGGAACCCUGAUCCAGCGACGCCGCGUGAGUGAAGAAGUAUUUCGGUAUGUAAAGCUCUAUCAGCAGGGAAGAAAGAAAUGACGGUACCUGACUAAGAAGCCCCGGCUAACUAGGUGCCAGCAGCCGCGGUAAGACGUAGGGGGCAAGCGUUAUCCGGAUUUACUGGGUGUAAAGGGAGCGUAGACGGGGAUGCAAGUCUGAAGUGAAAGGCGGGGGCCCAACGCCCGAACUGCUUUGGAAACUGUAUGGCUGGAGUGCAGGAGAGGUAAGAGGAAUUCCUGGUGUAGCGGUGAAAUGCGUAGAUAUUAGGAGGAACACCAGUGGCGAAGGCGGCUUACUGGACUGUAACUGACGUUGAGGCUCGAAAGCGUGGGGAGCAAACAGGAUUAGAUACCCGAGUAGUC